AUCCAAUAUGCAGCUUCAGUGAUCGGAGGCUCAUUCAUGAUCAAAGGUAUUUCGACUUACCAUUUGUUUUGGGCUGCUACUUAUAAUGAAAUCAUUGGUAUUUUGACUUACCAUUUAGUGAUCGGAGGCUCAUUCACCUAUAAUAUUUGUUCAGCAAUGUGCAGAUCAAGAGUGAUUUGAACCUGUCAACUGGUGUGAAGUAUCAGUGUGAAGUUUCAAGAAUGAUCCGAAGGAACAAGUUCGUAUGGCGUCGUCUCACAAUUUAGUAUUUGGGUCCAGAAUGCAUGAACUCAUGCAUAUAUUGAAGAUGAUUGGGACCUGGUGAGAAGCCAGCAGCAGCACCACCAGCUACAGCACUUGCAGCUGAGUUAGUAUAUGCAACAAAAUGGGCAGAUUUCUCUUUAUCCACAGUUGGAUUUAUCUUAUAGAAUUUUAUUGGGCUUUCAGGGUAUUGAACAAGGCAAAGAAGUGAGACCCGUGAUGAAGAACACUAAAGAGUACACAAAUUUUGGUGUUCUUUGUGUCUUUAGUAACUAUGUUAGAUUAUUUUUGCCUACUUGUUUCUGUUUGUUUUGGAACUUACUGUUUCGUCCGGUAGAAAGACGGAGUUUGAUGAUUUUUAAAGUUCUAUUUAGAUCCUUGUCUUUCCAAUUA